GUGCCAGCAGCCGCGGUAAUACGGAGGGGGCGAGCGUUAUUCGGAAUUAUUGGGCGUAAAGGGCGCGUAGGCGGCUUGACAAGUCAAAGGUGAAAUCCCUCGGCUUAACUGAGGAACUGCCUUUGAAACUGUCUGGCUUGAGGCCGGUAGAGGGUAGUGGAAUUCCCAGUGUAGCGGUGAAAUGCGUAGAUACUGGGAGGAACACCGGUGGCGAAGGCGGCUACCUGGACCGGUUCUGACGCUGAGGCGCGAAAGCGUGGGUAGCAAACAGGAUUAGAAACCCUAGUAGUCC
rnacentral:rRNA from 1 species